GGAGGAGGGGCGGGUCACUACUGAGGGUCCAGAGGAUCUUUAUGAGAAUGAUCCCAGGUAUGUAUGAGGAUUGUUCGAUGGCUCUGGGCUUCUACUUGCUGGAGUUUAGAAGAAUGAGGGUGAACUCAUUGAAAGGUCAAGAUAGAGGAUGUUUCCAAUAAUGGGAGGGUCUAGGACCAGAGCAAUGGAGAUGAGGAGGAAUUUCUUCAUCAGAGAAUGGUGAAUCUGUGGAAUUCAUUUCUACAUUUGAUUGUGGAGGCCAAGUCUUUGAAUGUAUUCAAAUUUUAACAGAUUGAACAAAGGCUGAUUCUGAGGAACUGAAAAUAGACAAUAGGUACAGAAGUAGACCAUUUGGCCCCUCGAGCCUGCACCACCAUUUUGAGAUCAUGGCUGAUCAACUACUAUCAAUACCCGGUUCCUGCCUUGUCCCCAUAUCCCUUGAUUCCCCUAUCCAUAAGAUACCUAUCUAGCUCCUUCUUGAAAGCAUCCAGAGAAUUGGUCUCCACUACCUUCCAAGGCAGUGCAUUCCAUACCCCCACAACUCUCUGGGAGAAGAAGUUCUUCCUUAACUCUGUCCUAAAUGACCUACCCCUUAUUCUCAAACCAUGCCCUCUGGUACUGGACUCUCCCAGCAUCUGGAUCAUAUUUCCUUAAUCCCUUAAUAAUCUUAUAUGUUCCAAUUAAAUCUCUCAAUCUCCUUAAUUCCAGCGUGUACAAGCCCAGUCUCUCUAACCUCUCUGCGUAAGACAGUCCAGACAUCCCAGGAAUUAACCUCGUGAAUCUACACUGCACUUCCUCUACAGCCAGGAUGUCCUUCCUUAACCCUGGAGACCAAAACUGUACACAAUACUCCAGGUGUGGUCUCACCAGGGCUCUGUGAUCUUGGAUACAAUGUAGAACAACAAAGGAAAGCAUUAAAAUAGUUCAACAGAGUCCAGAAAAAAAUCAUAAUUUGCUAGUUAGAAAGCACAAAGACUAUCUGUGAAUGAUUAAAGGCACUAAAUAUGCAGAGAAUAGUAUAGUUCCGUACAAAACUGAAUACAGUAGAAAGGUUUAGUGGUGGCGUGUUUAUAUGCAGCAGCCUCUUGGGUGCCAGUGCAAAGCUAUUUUAGUCUUUUUUAUGAUCACAAGACAAUGCUGGACAUUAAGAACUUCAGGUACCCAUCAGCGAGCUGCUGACUGGUGGAGGAGCUGGACUUGGUGCGGUCUGUGUUACUGCCUGUUGUAUUUGAGUUAGUGCCAGAAGCUGGUAUGCAAACUAACAGCGAGUGAUCAUCUUGGAUGUUUUUCUUGCGAUCGCAAGACCCUGGUGGAGACUGGUGAUACAAAAUGCUGCAAGUCUGUUUCCCUCGCUUAUUGCAAGCCAGAAGGUGGGGAGGGAGGGAGGGGUGCUGUGCAGAGUAGGCCUUAAACUGCAGGCUUGCCCCUCCUGUCAGUGCUGCCCUCCAGUGUUCGAUCAGUGGAAUGACAAGCUGGAUCAGGUAUUCAAUUUCCUGCAGACUACUGAGAACAGCCAGGAAUCAUCAAUUUACAGGAUGUGGUAAUCAGCUGCCCCUUUUCGCUGCACAGGGAAGCUCAAAGCCUCCGGCCACAGCAGGAACAGAAAACAGGAGCAGGUGGAGAUGACUCGGCUCCUCGAGCCUUUUAUAAAAUCACCAUUGGCAUAGAUGAGAUUAGUGGCACAAGGCUUCUCACCAGGAUCUUGAAUAUCCAACUAGACCAGCGUGAGAAACAGAACAGGGGCACUCUGCAGAGCCCACACAAAUUGGCAAACAGCCUGACGCAACAGCAGCCCAUGUCUAGCAGUCACUCUGAAGGAGCAACAGGCAAAAGCUUUCAUCAGGACCAAAACAUCAACUGUCCAUUUCCCGCUAUUGAUGCUGCCUGACCUGCCGAGUUCCUCCAGCUUUUUGUGCAUUGCUUCAGAUUUCCAGGUUUCACUUGUGUCUCAAGUUAUGAGGGGUGAUUGAUAAGUUCGUGGCAGUUUAGAAAACCUAGCACAUUUAUUUUGAUGAAGGGUUUCGGCCCGAAACAUCGUCACUACCUCCUCCCAUAGACGCUGUCUGGCCUGCUGAGUUCUGCCAGCAUUUUGUGUUUUUAUUUCACAUUUAUUUUUCCUACAUUCUCACACAUAGUCCAGUGGUCAUGGAGCAUACAGAUCCCUUCUUUGUAGAAGUCAGUGCCUUGGACCUCCAGAAAUGGUCCAUAGCAUGGGUGAUUGAUAAGUUCAUGGCCUAAGGUAGAAGGAGAUGAGUUAUUAACUUCAAACUUUCUGCAUUUUCACUCAGAGUUGAACUGCAUGUACAUGUAACAAGAGCUGUAUAACUCAUCUCCUUCUACCUUAGGCCACAAAUUUAUCAAUCAGCCCUGGUGUGGACCACCUGGAGGUCCUAGAUGCUCUCGUUACAUGCACGUGCAGUUCGACUGAGUGAUAAUGCAGAAAGUUUGAAGUUAAUAACUAUUUCUACCUUAGGCCACAAACUUAUCAUUCACCCCUUCUGUGGACCACUUCUACAAAGGGAUCCAUAUGCUCUACGACUGCUGGACUAAGUGUGUACAUGUAGGAGGGGACUAUGUUGAAAAAUAAACGUGCUAGGUUUUCUAAAAUUGACUCCUUCUACUGUAGGCCAUCAAUCACCCCUCGUAUUCGAAGGUAUCAGGUUUCACUUUAACAAGUAGGGUGGCUCAAUGUAAUCCAGCAUCAAGGACACCUUUACAAAGCAACGCCUCAAAAGGGCAGCAUCCAUCAUUAAGGACACCCAUCUCCCAGUACAUCCCUUCUUCUCAUUACUACCAUCAGGGAUGAGGUACAGGAGCCUGAAGACACACACUCAACUUUUCAGGAACAGCUUGUUCCCUUCUGUCAUCAGAUUUCUGAAUGGACAAUGAAUCCAUGAACACUACCUCUGCAUUUUUACCUCGUUUUAAUAUAGAUUUUUAUUAUGUAUUUCAUUGCACUGCUGCUGCAAAACAACAAGUUUCACGACAUAUGCCGGUGAUAUUAAACCUGAUUCUAAUUCUGCAUCUUGGGCCUGAAAUGCCAUUCGAUCUGCCACACUGUAUAAGCUGAACUGAAGCUGGAAGGAUUUCUGAUUUCAGUCCACUCAUGAAGCUGGAGGCAGCCACAGCUGUGGCACACAUUGGCCAGUAGAUGGACAUUUAAAAUCUCUCCUGCCCAGAAGAUUGGCUUGCAUAAAUCAAAUACUAAGCACAGGAGAUGGGAUGUUAUAUUGAAGUUGUAUAAGAUGUUGCUGGGACCUAAUUUGGAGUAUUGUGUGCAAUUCUCGUCACAUACCUACAGGAAAAAUUUCAAUAAGAUUAAAAGAGUGCAGAGAAAAUUUAUAAGGACGUUGCUGGGACUUGAGUUAUAGGGUAAGGUUGGUCGGUUAGAAGAAUUAGUGGAGAUUUGAUAAGAGGUAUACAAAAUUACGAGGGGUGAAUGCAAGUAGGCUUUUUCCACUGAGGUUAGGUGGAACUAAAACUAGAAGUCAUAGGUUAAGGGUGAAAGGUGACAUGAGGGGGAACUUUCUAACUUAUAGGGUUGGUGAGUGUGUGCAACAAGCUGCCAGCGGAAGUGGUGGAUGUGGGUUGGCUUGCAAUGUUUAAGAGAAAUUUGGAUGGGAGGGUUAUGGUCUGAAGGCAGGUCGAUGGGACUGGACGGAAUAGUAGUUCGGCACGGACUAGAUGGGCCAAAGGGACUGCUUCUGUGCCAUGACUCUGUGACUCCAAGAUAACACAAGAAUGAAAGAGAAAGCAGCUGUAUUAGCCGCUAGAGUGCCUCAAGCCUGUUCCACUCUUCAGUGAUUCAGUGUUCUCCUUCAACCCUAUAUUCGUGCCUGACGUGCAAUCUGCUUUCUUCCCUUGACUGCUCAAGUUCUAUUACUCGACUCUGAAUGCUCUCAACAACUAAGCAAGCACAUCCUCUCAGGGUGGAGGAUUUCAAAGACACAAUUCUAAGUAAAUGAAUUGUUUCUCUUCUCAAUCCAAACUUUCUGACCCUAAUCCUGGGACCAUGCCCAUCUCUUGGCUCCGGACUCUCAAGUCUGGGGGAGAAAUGCCCAUCACAUCCAGCUUGUCAGUUUCUUUCAGAAUAUCACCUGCUUCAAAGCGAUUAUUUACUCUUCUUUCAGAAUUUAGUCAGUGUACUUGAUCCCAUAGGACAAUCCCAGGAAUCAGAAGCAAAUGCAAGCACUUAGGAACACUCAACAUGAGCACCUUGGUAGAGUUGUGGCUAGCUUGGAGGACCUAUCACAGCUUGGACUGUAAGGGGUCUCUGUACGUCCUCCCUGUGCAAAGCGUACGUUUUCCCUGGGUGCUUCAGUUUCCUCCCACAGUCCAAAAGAUGUGCUGGGUAGGUUAAUUGGUCAAUGUAAAAUUGUCUCAUGCCUCUCAAAGUUCAAUCCUACCUCCCCAUCGUGAGAGGGUGGCAACGGGCAAGGCCAGCCAAAGGCUCUGGUGAAGCUGCGGAGGCCAAUCCCCUGUAUGGUGGAUAUAAUGGAUCACCAAAAAAAAUGAUGACCGUCCAAACAUAACAUCGACUUUGGACGAUGGAAACAGGAGGUCACUGAUGCCCUAUGCUCCACUGGGAGCUAAGGGCCUAGGAAAGAAGAAGAAAUUAGGUUAGGGUUAAAUCUGGGUUGUCGGGGAUGCUGAGGCAGCACAGCUUAAAGGGCGUUCUCUGUGCAGUUAUCUCCAAAUUAAAUAAAUAAAUAAACAGUCCUGUGAAGCAGAUCCAGUGAAGGAGACGUUGACACUCAGGCGCUGUUCUCCUCUGUAACAUUCAACGUGAAGUAAAUUUGCUCAGUAAAAUAAUAA